rnacentral:rRNA from 1 species
UACAGAGGUCCCAGGCGCUGUUCGGAUUCACUGGGCGUAAAGGGUGCGUAGGUGGCAGGAUAAGUUUGAUGUGAAAUCUCCGGGCUUAACCCGGAAACUGCAUUGAAUACUAUUUUGCUCGAGGGUUGGAGGGGGGACUGGAAUUCUCGGUGUAGCAGUGAAAUGCGUAGAUAUCGAGAGGAACACCAGUGGCGAAGGCGAGUCCCUGGACACCUCCUGACGCUGAGGAACGAAAGCUAGGGGAGCAAACAGG